UUCAUCUUUGGGGUUCAUUUAUGACGAUUAUAAUUCAUAUUGGGGUUCAUAUUGGGGUUCAUUUGUGACGUUUGUGGUGAUUAUUCGCUUGGGGUUCAUCUUUGGGGUUCAUCUUUGGAUAUUUGGUUACUUUGUUGGGGUUCAUUCUGAUAACUUUUUUCUUUGGUGUUUGCUGGUUAGCGAUUGUUGUUGUUAGGAGUCGGAUGUAAGUCCAUGUAUUGGCAUUCUGUU
rnacentral:lncRNA from 1 species